AGUGAACGCUGGCGGUAGGCCUAACACAUGCAAUUCGAACGGCAGCACAGUAAGAGCUUGCUCUUACGGGUGGCGAGUGGCGGACGGGUGAGGAAUACAUCGGAAUCUACUUUUUCGUGGGGGAUAACGUAGGGAAACUUACGCUAAUACCGCAUACGACCUACGGGUGAAAGCAGGGGAUCUUCGGACCUUGCGCGAUUGAAUGAGCCGAUGUCGGAUUAGCUAGUUGGCGGGGUAAAGGCCCACCAAGGCGACGAUCCGUAGCUGGUCUGAGAGGAUGAUCGGCCACACUGGAACUGAGACAGGGUCCAGACUCCUACGGGAGGCAGCAGUGGGGAAUAUUGGACAAUGGGCGCAAGCCUGAUCCAGCCAUACCGCGUGGGUGAAGAAGGCCUUCGGGUUGUAAAGCCCUUUUGUUGGGAAAGAAAAGCAGCAGGUUAAUACCCCGCUGUUCUGACGGUACCCAAAGAAUAAGCACCGGCUAACUUCGUG
rnacentral:rRNA from 1 species